AGGCGAUGGUGAGCGGCCGCCCCAUGUUACACAGACCCAGGAAGCCCUGUUCUGCUCGCACGUCCUGCGCUGAUGGCCCGGAGGGACCAGCAGCAGGAGCAGGGUCGCCUAGGAACAUGCUGGAAAUGAAGAUUUGUGAGCUCCACCCCAGGAACUCUGGGAUGAGGUGUGGUGAUCUACGAGCACACAUGAAGAAGUUGCUGUGGCUGAGGUCGAAGAGGUUGCUGCCUGUGUUCUCCUCAAGGAUUUUGAUGGAUUCCUGUCUCACAUUGAGGUCCUUCAUCCAUUUUGAGUCUGUUUUUGUGUGUGGUGUAAGGAAAUGGUCCAGUUUCAUUCUUCUGCAUGUGGCUGUCCAAUUUUCCCAACACCAUUUGUUAAAGAGACUGUCUUUUUUCCAUUGGACAUUCUUUUCUGCUUUGUCAAAGAUUACUUGACCAUAGAGUUGAGGGUCCAUUUCUGGGCUCUCUAUUCUGUUCCAUUGAACUAUAUGUCUGUUUUUGUGCCAGUAUCAUACUGUCUUGAUGAUGACAGCUUUGUAAUAGAACUUGAAGUCUGGAAUUGUGAUGGCACAAACUUUGAUUUUCUUUUUCAACAUUCCUCUAGCUAUCUGGGGUCUUUUCUGGUUCCACAUAAAUUUUAGGUCUAUUUGUUCCAUUUCUUUAAAAAAAAAUGAUGGUAUUCUGAUAAAGAAUGCAUUAAAUGUGUAAAUUUUUUUUAAGGUAGGAGUCAAUCCCAUUUACAAUUGCACCCAAAGCCAUAAGAUACCUAGGAAUAAGCCUAACCAAAGAGGCAAAGAAUCUGUACUCAGAAAACUAUAAAGUACUCAUGAAAGAAAUUGAGGAAGAAACAAAGGAAUGGAAAAAUAUUGCAUGCUCAUGGAUUUGAAAAAAAUAUA